CGUGUAGGCGGUUGGGUAAGUCAGAUGUGAAAGCCUUCUGCUUAACAGAAGAAGUGCAUUUGAAACUGCUCGGCUAGAGUACGGGAGAGGAGAGUGGAAUUCCCGGUGUAGAGGUGAAAUUCGUAGAUAUCGGGAGGAACACCAGUGGCGAAGGCGGCUCUCUGGUCCGAUACUGACGCUGAGACGCGAAAGCGUGGGGAGCAAACAGGAUUAGAUACCCUGGUAGUCCACGCCGUAAACGAUGGGCACUAGGUGUAGGAGGUAUUGACCCCUUCUGUGCCGAAGCUAACGCAUUAAGUGCCCCGCCUGGGGAGUACGGUCGCAAGGCUGAA
rnacentral:rRNA from 1 species